UACGUAGGGGGCAAGCGUUGUCCGGAAUUAUUGGGCGUAAAGCGCGCGCAGGCGGCAAUAUAAGUCUGGUGUUUAAACCUGGGGCUCAACCUCGGGUCGCACUGGAAACUGUAUAGCUAGAGUGUAGGAGAGGAAAGUGGAAUUCCCGGUGUAGUGGUGAAAUGCGUAGAUAUCGGGAGGAACACCAGUGGCGAAGGCGACUACCUGGCCUGUUCUUGACGCUGAGGCGCGAAAGCUGGGGGAGCAAACGGG
rnacentral:rRNA from 1 species